rnacentral:rRNA from 1 species
UACGAAGGGGGCUAGCGUUGCUCGGAAUUACUGGGCGUAAAGGGCGCGUAGGCGGACAGUUUAGUCAGAGGUGAAAGCCCAGGGCUCAACCUUGGAAUUGCCUUUGAUACUGGCUGUCUUGAGUCCGGGAGAGGUGAGUGGAAUGCCGAGUGUAGAGGUGAAAUUCGUAGAUAUUCGGCGGAACACCAGUGGCGAAGGCGACUCACUGGCCCGAUACUGACGCUGAGGCGCGAAAGCGUGGGGAGCAAACAGG